UGUUCCUUUGCUUUCCUCAGUUGCUCUUAAAUCCACCGGUCGAGGAGUUUGUUAGAAUAACGUUUGUGCAUAUUUUCGAUAACGACAGUCAAAUCCAUCUCGAUAAUAGAAAAUGGUAGCCGAAAAGUACGACAAGGCCGUUCCUGAGCUAAAGGAAGAAUUGAAAAGGAUUGCUGAACAGAUCGUAGCUCCUGGAAAAGGAAUUCUCGCUGCUGACGAAUCUACGACCACGAUCGGUAAACGUUUAAAGGACAUCAAUGUAGAGAACAAUGAGGAUAAUCGUAGAGCAUACAGACAAUUACUUUUCACUGCGGCAAAGGACGUCAUUGGACAACAUAUCUCCGGUGUGAUUCUGUUCCAUGAGACUCUAUAUCAGAAGGCUAAUGACGGUACGCCAUUCGUGGAGCUUUUGAAACAACGUAACAUCAUUCCUGGCAUCAAGGUUGAUAAGGGUGUCGUGCCACUCUUUGGUACAAACGAUGAAUGUACGACUCAGGGACUAGAUGACCUCCAAGCACGUUGCAUCCAAUAUAAAAAGGACGGCUGUCAUUUCGCCAAGUGGAGAUGCGUUCUUAAAAUCACAAAGGAUACGCCAAGCAAGCUCGCCAUCUUAGAAAACGCGAAUGUUCUCGCUCGUUACGCUUCAAUUUGUCAGAGCGCAAGAAUCGUACCGAUUGUUGAGCCCGAAAUCCUUCCUGAUGGUGAUCACGAUCUUGCUCGUUGUCAACAAGUUACAGAGGAGGUUCUCUCUGCUGUUUACAAGGCAUUAGCCGAUCAUCAUGUCUAUCUCGAGGGUACUCUCUUGAAACCAAACAUGGUAACAGCGGGCCAAAGUUGUCCGAAGAAGGCAAUGCCUCAAGAAAUUGCAGCAGCAACUGUAACCGCAUUAUUGCGUACGGUUCCACCUGCAGUACCUGGAAUCACCUUCUUGAGCGGUGGACAAUCCGAAGAAGAGGCCUCAGUGAAUUUGGAUGCCAUCAACAAGUUCCCAGCUAAGAAACCUUGGGCAUUGACCUUUAGUUACGGUCGUGCUCUUCAGGCCUCUGUUCUUCGCGCUUGGGCUGGCAAAACCGAUCAAGUGACAGCGGGACAGGAAGAACUUAUCAAGAGGGCUAAGGCAAACAGUGCUGCUUGCCAAGGCAAAUAUGUUGCUGGCAGUAUUUCUAGCAAAGCCGGUGACUCUUCUUUGUAUGUCAAAGCUCAUGCCUAUUAAAAUUCUCUUUCCUUACUCUGUGUGAUGCUGUUUAUGUACUACUAUAUAACAGCCAACAGCGAAUCGGCACUUGGCAAAUACGCGGGAGGUGUCACAGGAGCUGCCGGCGAUGCUGCACUUUUCGUAGCGAAUCACGCAUAUUAAAGAAAAAUCUUCAGUUAAUAAUAGUUUAGACAUUCUUCAGUUCAUCCGUCGAAUACGAUCAUCGUCGAUUCAUUCUUUCAAAAAGUAAUGAACAAUAAAAUAUCAACAAGAGGAUAAUAAUAAUAAUAUUAAAGCAGAAUAAAGUGGAAUAAAUCAUCGAAUAGAUCAUCGUCGAUGAUCGUUACGACUUUUAUCGAUAUUUUUCACAGCGUUGACUUUCGACCUUACAGAUCCCAUAGGAGAUAAAUAAUACGAUUCCUCUCUCUCGUUCCUCUCUCGUUAUUUGAAUCAUCGUCUACUUACUAAGAAAUUUCAUAAAAGUAAUCUUGUAUAGGGUAUACCAUAUCCUGGAUCUUAAAGAUUUUUCAAAUGUGAUUGCGCACAAUAAAAUGGUGUACGAAAGUAACGUUGAAAAUAUUAUCGAUCGUAAUUUUGAAGAUUAUUAAGAAAACAAAAGAAAAUGAACAGGUGACAAAGCGUACAUUUAUGUAAAAAAAAUGAAGUAAUUAAAUUCGACGAUGACACGAGUUACAAGCCCAACACAUACACGUACGAAUACACGUUACAUAUUUUAUUCUGUAACAUAUAUAACAAAUAAGAGAAAAAAUCAGAAGAAAUAAAUAUA
rnacentral:misc_RNA from 1 species